CGUUUGGCAACUGGUUCAUAUUUAUGACAGACAGAGUGUCUCAGGAUCAACUUUUGUGACCUUCUGAUAAGUAAAAAUCAAUGGGAAAGCCAGAUUCACUUAACAAUGUUACUAAUUUAACAUCUGCAAUGAUUCACGUAACAACUGUAGCAAGAAAAGUCGUAAAAUGGGGCAAAACUCACUUAACAAAUGUUUCACUUAGCAACAUAAAUUUUGGGCUCAAUUGUGAUCAUAAGUCGAGGACUAUGGUACCUGUAUAUUCCUCAUUAGCUGAGAAAUAAUAUCUACUUAUCUAGGUCAAGUCAACUAUGGCUCUUGCCAUUUUCAUGCUGCCAGAAUUUCCAAUCUGCAGUUUGCCUUUCUUCGUGUCUUUACCCUUCUUUGCUUCAGAUAUUGCUCUAACUUCUGCUUCUAUUACAAAUAUUAAGAAAAAAGUAGGAAUUCCUGUGAUCACAAGUAUCAUCCAGUUGGGGAACCUCAACAGGCCAUCCUGAAAAAUAGCGUUCAUCACAAUAAGAUAUGAAAAACAAAAGAAAAGUAUUCAGGCAGAAACAAAACAUAUAAUCUUUGGGGAGUCUGGGGACUUCCAUUUGAUUUGCUCUGCUUCUCCCAACAGAACUGCAAGCAAAGCAUAUCUGGCAAAAGAUUAACACACUACAUUGUAUUUGCCAAGUCAACACUGAAAUGAAACAAUGAAAAGGCCUCUGGACUGUCAAAAAGUUUAUCAACCCUGAGAAAAUCUGCUAGAAACAUAUUUAGAAGCUGGGUGGGCCGUGGUGGCUCAAGGCUGUAAGAAGCCUGUUAUUAAAACCAGCUGCCUGCAAUUACUGCAGGUUCAAGCCCCACCAGGUCCAAGGUUGACUCAGCCUUCCAUCCUUUAUAAGAUAAAGUUGGGCUAAAAACACAAAUUUUCUGCAUGUCAAGUAAAGACAGAAAACUAUUGCCAGAAGGGCAUCAGUAGCUGCAUUGGUCCAGGACAGAAAGACCAGAUAUCCUUGACGAUCCACGAACGUUUGUGCAGAUGUGUCAAAGAGAGUCCAACUAUCAACCAAUAUCUCUUCACUUUCUUCACAACUGGAACAGGCUACUCUAUGUGGGCUGGAAAAGUCCAGAUGACUACUACAAUAGAUGGCUAGGAGAGAAGACCUCUUUACUACCACCCAGCUUUUUACAACCUAUAUGUGAUAUCACUAAAGCAUAAUACUCUAAUUUGCAUCUAAUCAGGCCACACAUUCACCCUCUCAAUGUCUUUUCUCCUUUUGGUAUUUGUAAUAUUGCCUUCAUCUCAUUGUCUUACGUUGUCCUUAAUUGUCAAAAGAAUACUGAGACAUCCAAGGAGACAUAGAAUGCAAUUUUAAGGUAUGUUAUUUUCAUCCUAAGAGUGGGUAGGUAGCAACAGAGAGGGAUAGGCAGGGCUUUAACAAUUCAUAUUUAAAAAUGUUCAUUUUCUGGAGUGUUAGAUUAUGUACAGCGCAGACUAUAUCUUACCCUAUCUUGGCUAUUUUUGUAGGAGAUCCUGUAUGCUGGUCCUUGGACUUCGCUUGGAUUUUAUUUCUGGUGAACAUUAUGCUAGCUUUGUACUAGUCCAUUAGUCCUGAGAUACAACUUACAGCCAAUUAAGAGUAAAAGUCAUGCAAUUCUGCUCAAAAGCUGAACUCUUUGGGCAACAGUAGUGAAAUUGCAAGCUUGACAUUGAUAUCAAAAAGACUGCAUCGUUGAUGUUAGAAUUUGAAAAUUGAAUGCAGGUGAUUUUUCAUUUAAGGAUGAAUAUCUACAAUAGCUGAACAAGUAUUAUCUGCAUGUGUAUGAUAUAACUGAAUUUAAUCUAUGUAUUUAGUGUAGAUUAGAAAUGCAAAUUAGUUGCACACAACAGACGUGACAAAAGCUGGAAUGAAGCCCAUAUACAUUAGUACUAGCUAGUAAGAGGCACGAUUAUCUAUUUUCUGAAUGUGUAACAAUAAUAUUGCUUAUUUCCAUUAACAACAUACAAAGGAAUAUCAUUUUGCAAUCAUUUAGAGAGUGCUAAUAGGUGUCUCAUGCAACUGUAUUUUUUACAUUAAUAUUGUCUCAUGCAACAUAUUUUUCUCUGACAGGGAAACUAUUCCUGCAGCUGGAUUCCCAAGGAAAUCUUUUGGUGGAAAUGAUGUACAGAAUGGAUUUGUGUAUCAGUUCAGGGUUUGUGUACCUGAUCCUGUUCCAACAGAACAGAUGCUGUAGAUUUUUACUCUUCAUAAAGUUAAAUUUUCUGGAAUCGGAUGUCAAGUGACAGUGGGAAUAAUCCAUAUGAGGGAAAUAAUAUGUAGUACAAUAGCUUUAUUUAUUUGCCAGUUUCAAAAUACAAUUUCCAGAUAUUCUUCUUGGGAUAAAAUUAUGUUGAAAAUAUGCAUCAAGAAGUGUAAAAUGUCCAAUUUCUCAAGAGGCUGGCGUUAUCUUGAAAAAGAUGCCUUUUUAGAACAGAGUCUGUUUUGAACGAUAAAAAAGAAGUAGUUCCUCUAAUUUUUGCUUCUUGCUCCAAAAAAAUGUUGGAAUAACAUGAAGUUGGCUAAUUUGAGCAACUGUAUGUAUUGGGAGGUAGUUUGAUGUAGUGCAGUAAAGCCUGGAGAUUUUGAAUUCUAGUCCCAUCUUAUGCCAGACAUCAGCUGAGUGUCCUUGGGCCAUUCAUUCUUUCUCAGCCCUAGGAAGCAAGCGAUGGCAAAGCGAUCCUGAAAUCUUGCCAAGAAAACUGUAGGGACCAGUCUAGGCCGGCACCAAUGUUGGUGUCAUCAACAUUGACUCGAAAGCACAUACACAAACAAAAAAUAUUGUUUAUGUAGACAAAGUCAGUUAUCUUAGUAAAUCAGUUACAGUUUGGAUCAAUAUUGAUUAGAUGUAGCAUUCUGCGUGCUUUAUCAAUGACAAAAAGCCUUCUUAAGAUGAGAGAUCUGGUGAAGGAUGAACUCAUUGUCAGAAUGAGUAACUUGUUUCUCUGUCUCUGUGGAUUUUCAAAGCUGCCUGGGGCAGCAUCAACUUGAAAAUGCCUCAUAAAAUAGGCCAGGGAAUUGAAGGUUCAUACAGCUUCAAGUUGCUGAGGUUGAGAAACACUAUAUUAGAAAUAUAUAAACAUUGAAACAUUGAAUAUUUUGUACCCACUCGAGCAUUUCUGGAGGAUGGUUAUUUAGAUGCUUUUGAUCACACCAAGAAUGUAUCAUUUGUUCCCAUAUGGCCACCUUUAAGGAAUUUAUUGCAGUGGUUUUGAACCUGUUGUCUGAGGACCCCCGGGGGGCUCCUGUAAUGUCAUGGGGUCCCUGAAGGCUUGAAGAAAUGUUGUGAUUUAAAUCUUGAGUUAUGUCUUGGUGGUCUGUGGCCAUGGUCCAUGGCCACAAAAGAUAUUAAAAGGGAAUCCGUGCUGAAGAAACGGUUGAGAACCACUGAUCCAUUAAAUUGUAAACUAUCAGGAACAGCAGCAAACUGUACAAAGAAAACUGCUUGACCACAAUAGUUUUCUUCUUAAAACUUAAAAUUCAUAGUAUACAUCACAACAGUAGUUAAAGAGUUUUAUUUUGCUUUGUCAAGGGGGAUAAUUGUCAGAAUAUUACAUUCUGCCACUUUGUGAACUCAGCUUUGCCACAUAUUGUGCAAUUAAGGAACACUUGCUGAACACAAUUUUAAAAUUGCUCAACUUGUGACAAAUCCAAAGUGUAGCAUUUCAUUAAUUUUCAAGUGUUAUUCAAUAAAUUUGCAUAGCAGAAAAAUAGCUGUUUAACCUCUUCUAAGUAAUCAAGAAAGAAGGAAUUAGCUCAACCAAAUACUGAGAUUUUAAAAAUUAUAAAUGAUAUCGUAAUAAAGAUUGCAUUCAGACAGUUGUAAUUCAUCUGUAUUGCUGUAAUCAGUGAGAUUUAACAUUAAUUACAGUAGAUCUACGUGAGCAUAACCAAGUUUGUUUUCAUGACACAUAUUCUAAAAUGUUUGGUUAAUUUUACAACUUUGUGUGUCCUGGAAACAUGAUAUCAAUUUAAAUGUCACUCUACAUUGGUUUCCGAAUGAAGAAAAGGUGCAGUUGCCUAGAAAACAAAACUAUUUAUUCAAUGGGAAAUAUGCCAUUAAAUAUCCCCUGCUCAGAUUAGCUGGCUUCCAUCCUUUUUUCUAUUUUUGAUGACUGCAUUAUUUUCUGUUGGCACCACAAUGAUCCCCUCCCCUUUCAUUCUUUUUGUAUAUCUCUGUAUCAUUCUAAUGAUGAACAAGUACUAGAAAAAUAGUUAAAAGAUCUAUGGUAGCCAAAUUACAACAUAAUAGCCAGCAAAUUAAAGCUCAAUUAAAAUGAAUUAGCUAAAAUAAUAAUUGAAACCAUCACAUAAAAAAACCCCAUCAAAACACAGAUAAAUCCAAUGGACCAU